AUUCACGAUAGCUUCUCUUAGUAUUAUUAAAUUGGUCUGAAGCUAAUGUUAGGACUAUAGGUAUUAGCGAUAAAUCAUAUUUAUUUAUUGGAUUUAUCUAGUCUCUAUAUUUUAGCCUAUUCUGUUAUGUUAUCUUUGUACUCUCUGUAUUAUAUAUAGUAUUGAAUACAAUGAACUCUUUUAAGGUAAAUUUUAUAUGCCUUAUAUGGUAUCAGAUUAGGACUUUUUUAUCUCAAUCAUGACCGGCGGCAACCCAUCUUCUUAUUCUUCUUCUCUUUCUCUUAACACCAUUAUCCACAUGAUCACUGUCAAACUAUCCCCCACAAAUUAUUUACUAUGGCGCAAUUAGCUUCUCACCCUUCUCGCCUAUCAAAAAUUAUGGGGCCACAUCGAUGGGACCACAGUCGCACCUUCAAAAACUUCAGCCUCUGAUGCUGCUGGUGUCUCUGCCCAAACCCUACGUACGCCUCCUGGCUCGAAGCAGAUCAGAAAGCUUUCCUCAUCAUUCAAGCUUCUCUCACCAAAGCUGCAAUGGCCAAAACCCUAGGUCUUACCACAACUCACGAAGUAUGGAAUACUCUUCAAGUUUCCUAUCGACAAGAUUCUCAAGAGCGUAUGGAUGUUCUUCGUGACAGCCUGCAUCAACUUCAAAAAGGAUCAUCUUUUGUUUAAGAGUUUGGUGCAAAAUUCAAAUCCAUCUGUGAUCAGCUAGCCGCUAUUGGCAGCCCUGUUGAUUGUUUUUUAUGUGGGUUUGGAGCUUCGUUUGAAACCUUCUCCACUACUUAUCGUGCUCUCAAACCAGCUCCAAGCUUUCAUACCCUCGUAUCCUAAGCUGAAUCUCAUGAAUUAUUUCUAAAAACGAUCCAUGGAACUACUGUUCCCACUGUUGCUUUCAAUGCCACUCGCCAGUCCUCGUCCUCUACUGCUUCCUCUCGUGGUAACUUAUCUGGUGGCUGAUACUCAGGACGAGGAAGGGAUGAUCAAAAUGGUGGUCAGGAAAGGGGGCGUCGCCCUCCUCAUUGUUAGUUGUGUAGGACAAAUGACCAGUAUGCCAACUCUUGUCCCCAAUUGAGCACUUUUGAAAAUCAAGGAUCGACUUACCAAUCUUGCUCAAGCUUUUCAAGCUCAAUGUCCUGUCGCCAACAAUUCUCCUGAUUGGUAUGUCGAUUCUGAGGCAACAUCACACAUGGCAUCCAAUUCCACGAAUCUUGACUCCACUACUCCUUAUGCUGGUGCUAAUUAGGUCAUCUUUGCAAAUGAAUCGGGUAACAAACGAAAUACUGGCAAGGGGAAAAUGUGAGAACGGAUUAUAUAUGUUGAAGCAAGGACUUCAAGUUUUUCUUUCUACUUUAAAAUCUUCCAAAAUAAGUGCAUCAUAUAAAUUGUUGCACAAUCGCUUAGGGCAUGUUUCAUUUGACAUUAUUUCCUGACUUAAUAAAUCGGGUCUUUUGUCUAUUUCAUCUUUAUUACCUACACCUCAUGUUUGUUCUUCAUGUCACUUGUCUAAAAGCAAACAACUACAACUUCCAAUCAAUCCCAAACGAUCACUACAAGUACUAGAUUUAGUCCAUUGUGAUCUUUGGGACCUGCACCCACAGAAUCUGCAAAUGGUUAUAGAUAUUAUUGCAUUUUUAUUGAUGACUUCUCAAGAUUUACGUGGUUUUAUCCUCUAAAGUUAAAGUCUAAUUUAUUCAAUGCUUUUACCAUAUUUUUAGCCUUUGUACAAACUUAGUUCUCUUGCAAAAUAAAUGUUUUUCAGAGUGAUGGUGGGACUGAGUUUGUUAAUAAUCGGGUCCGCUCACUUCUUGCCACUAAUGGCACUCAUCAUCAGCUCUCGUGUGCCUAUACUCCUCAACAUAAUGACAAAGCAGAACGGAAACACAAUCAUCUUACUGAAACGGGUCUCGCUAUGUUAUUUAAUGCACAAGCUCCAACAGCUUUGUGGGUUGAUGGUUUCAGCUCAGCAACCUAUAUUAUCAAUCGAAUGCCUUCUAAGAUUCUUGAUUAUAAGAGCCCAUUUGAGCUUCUAUAUCGUUCAUCUCCAACCUGUAAUGUGUUUCGAGCCUUUGGGUGCAUUAUCUUUCCUUAUUUACGCCCUUAUGCAUCAAAUAAAUUGCAACCUUGAAGUUAUCCAUGUAUUUUUAUCGGUUAUAGUUCUCAAUAUAAAGGAUAUUGAUGUCUGGAUCCGACAUCUGGUCGAAUUUGUACCACACGCCAUGCUAUGUUUAAUGAAACCCAAUUUACAUUUAGUGGCCUCACUUCUCUAUUUGAUAAGGCCACCUUGGUAUUUUCUCGGUUUGAUGACAUUGCCUCGUCACUUUUUCCAGAUCCACCUCCCGAGGAACCAACUUCACAUCCAUCAUCGGCUACAAUUUCUUCUGCUUUGGUAUCUCCAUGUGUCUUAUGCUCUCCAUCAGCGGCCCCCACUCCUUCGAAUAUUGUUCCACUUGUUGUAGCCAUACCGUCACAGCCUUCAUCCUCGAUAGAGAAUGAAGCACCACCUGUACAUCCUGCUAACGCAGACCAACCUUUAGUCACAGUGCCUUUCAGACCUUCAUCUUCCACACCUCCUAUGGUGACUCGAUCUCGGGAAGGUAUUUUCAAAACUAAGCAUUUCGUUGAUCUUGCUUAUCUCCAACAAUCACCAUUGCAUCAAUUACUUUUUUCUGCUAAAGAGCGUCGUGGUUUUAAGUCUGCCUCUAAAAAUCCACGUUGGCUAUCUGCUAUGGAAGAUGAAAUGCAUGCACUACGCUCUAAUAACACUUAGUCUUUGGUUCCUCGUCCACUCAACUGAAAUGUAGUUGGAUCAAAAUGGGUAUAUCGCAUUAAGUAUAACUCUGAUGGCACAGUCCAACGUUACAAAGCACGUUUAGUUGCACAAGGUUUCAGUUAGAUUUCUGGUAUUGAUUAUACAUAUACUUUCAGUCCUGUGGUUAAGGCCGCAACUGUCCCCAUUGUUCUUUCUUUGGCUGUCAUGCAUCGUUGGCCCUUACACCAAUUAGAUGUUAACAAUGCCUUUCUAAAUGGGAGGCUUAAGGAAAUAGUCUUCAUGGAACAAACCCCAGGAUUCUUCUCUGACACACGGUUUCCUAAUCAUGUUUGUCAACUUCACAAAGCUCUCCAUGGCCUUAAAUAAGCGUCACGUGCCUGGUUUCAGCGUCUCAUCUCCUUUCUUAUCAGCCUUGGUUUUGUUUGCAGUCGAGCAGAUACCUCACUUUUUGUUUUUAAACGUGACUCAUAUCUUUUGUACCUGUUGGUAUACUUUGAUGACAUUAUACUCACAGGUAAUGAUCCUUCUCUCAUUCACAAAUUCAUUUCCAAAUUACACUCUGAAUUUCCCUGUUAAGGAUCUUGGAACUCUGAAUUAUUUUUUGGGUCUUGAAGUCUCCUACAUAGAUGAUGGUUUAUUUCUAACACAAGCCAAGUAUGCCCAUGAUAUUUUACUUAGAGCCAACCUGCUUGACUCUAAGCCAUUUUCUAUGCCUUUAGCCACUUCCGAGGCACUUGUCUCCACUGACUCUCCAUUUUCGGAUCCUACUACAUAUCGAUCAUUAGUUGGUGCCCUACAAUACCUCACCAUCACUCGUCCAGACUUGUCCUUUGUUGCUAAUCAAGUCAAUCGGUUCCUGCAUGCUCCAACUACCGAUCACUUUCAAGCAGUUAAUCGAAUUCUACGAUAUGUUAAUGACACUCUAACUUACGGCCUGUACUUUACUCAUCCACGAUCAUCUUCAAUUCUUGGCUAUUCGGACGCGGAUUGGACUAGGUGUAUUGAGACUCGUAGGUCCACCUAUGGCUAUUCAAUAUUUCUUGGUGGUAAUCUUGUUUCCUGGAGUCCUAAGAAACAACCUACUGUCUCCGGGUCUAGUUGUGAGUCUGAGUAUUGGACCGUGGCAAACACAACUGUUGAAAUAGUGUGGAUAACUCAUUUAUGACGUGAACUAUUUGCUCUUCCUCCUGAUCGACCUACGUUGUUAUGUGACAAUAAAAGUGCUUUAUUUCUUGGUUAGAAUCCAAUUUCACACAAAAAAGCUAAUCAUAUUGAUAUUGACUAUCACUUCAUUCGUGAGCUCAUUGCUUCUGGACGGCUAUACACACGUUUUGUGCCCACCUCUUUACAACUAGCGGACAUCUUCACCAAAAGUCUUCCAAGGCCUCUAUUUGAGAAAUUUCGAGCCAAGCUGCGUGUUGGUCCCCCACCUGUGUGCUUGCGGGGGGUAUUAGCGAUAAAGCAUAGUUAUUUAUUGUAUUUUUCUAGUCUCUGUAUUUUAGCAUAUUAUGUUAUGUUAUCUUUGCACUCUCAGUAUUAUAUAUAGUAUUGAAUACAAUGAAAUCUUUUAAGGGGAAUUUUAUACGCCUUAUAAUAGGCCUUAGUUUUA